AAAGAUUAAGCCAUGCAUGUCUCAGUAUGAACUAUCUAUUGUGAAACCGCGAAUGGCUCAUUACAACAGCCAUAGUUUACUGGAUAUAUUCCAUUACAUGGAUAACUGUGGUAAUUCUACAGCUAAUACACGCAUCAAAACCCUGACUUCGGAAAGGGUGCGUUAGUUACUUCAAACUGACUAGACUUCGGUCUGGCUCCAAGUGAAAUUGAACUAUUUAGCUGAUCGCACGGUCUAAGCACCGGCGACAUAUCCUUCAAAUGUCUGCCUUAUCAACUGUCGAUGGUAGAUUAUGCGCCUACCAUGGUUGUAACGGGUAACGGAGAAUCAGGAUUUGAUUCCGGAGAGGGAGCCUGAGAAAUGGCUACCACAUCCAAGGAAGGCAGCAGGCACGCAAAUUACCCACUCCCGGCACGGGGAGGUAGUGACGAAAAAUAACAAGCUGGUCUCUUUGAGUUCCGGCAUUGUAAUGGGAACAACUUAAAUCAUUUAUCGAGGAUCUAUUGGAGGGCAAGUCUGGUGCCAGCAGCCGCGGUAAUUCCAGCUCCAAUAGCGUAUAUUAAAGUUGUUGCGGUUAAAAAGCUCGUAGUUGGAUCUACGAUCAAGGCUUGUGGUCGUCCUUCUCGGAUGUACUGCUUAGUCUGGUCGAAUUAUCUGGUGAACGAUUGAUGCUCUUCACUGAGUGUCUCUAGUUGCUGGAACGUUUACCUUGAAAAAAUUGAAGCGCUCAAAGCAGGCGUAUGCCCGAACAUUGCUGCAUGGGAUAAUUGAAUAGGACUUCGGUUCUAUUUUGUUGGUUUCGGAACGCGGAGUAAUGAUUAAUAGGGACAGACGGGGGCAUUCGUAUUGCUGCGUUAGAGGUGAAAUUCUUGGAUCGUAGCAAGACGACCUACUGCGAAAGCAUUUGCCAAGAAUGUUUUCAUUAAUCAAGAACGAAAGUUAGAGGUUCGAAGGCGAUCAGAUACCGCCCUAGUUCUAACCGUAAACGAUGUUAACUAGCGACUCGCAGGUGUUACUUUAACGGCCCUGCGAGGAGCUCCCGGGAAACCUAAGUGUUCGAAUUCCGGGGGAAGUAUGGUUGCAAAGCUGAAACUUAAAGGAAUUGACGGAAGGGCACCACCAGGAGUGGAGCUUGCGGCUUAAUUUGACUCAACGCGGGGAAACUCACUUGGUCAGGACACUGUAAGGAUUGACAGAUUGAAAGCUCUUUCUUGAUUCCGUGGAUGGUGGUGCAUGGCCGUUCUUAGUUGGUGGAGUGAUUUGUCUGGUUAAUUCCGAUAACGAGCGAGA
rnacentral:rRNA from 1 species